ACAAGAACUCCUAAUUAAAUUCAUCUUUGAUUUCUUGUUGUUAAAUAAUACAAUGUGGAAAGGUCCAAGGGGGUGAAUACUUUGAUACCUUCAUUGAUGUUGUUGUUGACUUGUUUCAACCUGUUUACUUGCAGAUAUUCUCAUUCAUCAGCUGGAUUUAAUUUACACAAAGAGAGUUCCAGACUUUCAAACCAGCUUAGGACAUGCAGUCGAUGUGACUCUGGACUCUGAUUCAGCACACAAACACCUUAUUCUGUCAGACGACAUGAAAGAAGUGAGAUACAGAUGGAAGUCUUUUAAACUCCCUGUUGACCCAAAGAGGUUUAAUGAACGUCCCUGUGUCCUGGGAAACCAGGGCUUUAAGUCCCAGAGUUUCUACUAUGAGGUGGAGGUGAAGCUGGUUGGGAG